CCUACGGGAGGCAGCAGUGAGGAAUAUUGGUCAAUGGGCGAGAGCCUGAACCAGCCAAGUCGCGUGAGGGAGUACUGCCCUAUGGGUUGUAAACCUCUUUUGUCGGGGAGCAAAAGCCGGACGUGUCCGGCUGUGAGAGUACCCGAAGAAAAAGCAUCGGCUAACUCCGGGCCAGCAGCCGCGGUAAUACGGAGGAUGCGAGCGGUAUCCGGAUUUAUUGGGUUUAAAGGGUGCGCAGGCGGAUUGUUAAGUCAGCGGUAAAAUCGUGGGGCUCAACCCCAUCCAGCCGUUGAAACUGGGGAUCUAGAGUGUGCGAGAGGUAUGCGGAAUGCGUGGUGUAGCGGUGAAAUGCAUAGAUAUCACGCAGAACCCCGAUUGCGAAGGCAGCAUACCGGUGCACAACUGACGCUCAGGCACGAAAGCGUGGGUAUCGAACAGGAUUAGAUACCCCGGUAGUC
rnacentral:rRNA from 1 species